ensembl:lncRNA
UCUGCAGCAGUGCUGCCUCUUUGCAUUUUUAGUGUUGACCUUGAGCCUGAGUGGUUGGAUAGUGUGCAGAAAAAUGGAGAAUUAUUUUAUUUAGAAUUUAGUGAAAGUGAAGAAGAAAUUCUGCUUCAGAACAGCUGUCCAGAAAUGCCAGCAGUGAAUCAUGUCAGGUUUCGUGAAAAUGAAGCUGAAAUUAUUCAGGAGGGAUCACGAAAGGAAAGGAAGUAUGAACUGAAGAAAUGGACCAAAAUGCUAAAAAAGAAGAGUCUUUUACCAAAGGGUUCUGGUAAGAAAGGCAGUGGAACCUGCAAUGUUCUCCCCUCAGGUCCUACUUCCAUAUUGAAACACCGGUCUCCUCAGAAAAUGGGUGUCCCUGUUCAGCAAAAGUACAAAGAUGUGUCUGUUUAUGUAAAUCCCAGAAAACUCUACAGCGCUGAGGAAGAAGAGCAGCAGAGGCUGCUGGAGGCCUUGGUAGGGAUUGUCCAUCAGUCUUCAUGGAGCAGCAAAAGAGUGGAAAAACAAGGCAGGAGGGAUAAAGCCACCAGAGGAGUCAGUGAAGAGAAGCUUGUGGUACAUGGCUUGGUGCCAGGUAGUUCUGCAAUGAAAACAGGUCAAAUCCUGAUUGGAGAUGUUCUUGUUGCUGUAAAUGAUGUCGAUGUGAAUUCUGAAAACAUAGAGAGGGUUUUGUCUUGCAUUCCAGGUCCUAUGCAGGUUAAACUGACAUUUGAAACCUCGGUAUUUGAGCCUGAAGGAACUUCUGAGCAAAGGAACAAACAGACACAGUCAAGUAUGAACAACCUGGUUCGGCUCCUGUGGGGAGGGGACAGUGUGGACCUUCAGCAGGCUGCGCAGGACGUGCCUCACAUUGUCAUGUUCCUCACGCUGAAACUGGACUCUGAGACAUCCAAGGAUGAGCAAGAAAUUAUUUAUCAGUACCCCAUAUCUGAAGCAUCCCAAAAACUGAAAAGUGUGAGAGGGAUAUUUCUCACACUGUCUGACAUACUGGAAAGUGUUACUGGUACCGAGAUUAUCAGUUCCUCCCUUUUCUUAUGUGAAAAACUGGUUCAAGUUGUUUACUGGAAAGAAUCCGACAAGUUGCUUGUAAUUGGCCUUCCUGAAGAAAAUGUCCCACUUUCUCAUCUGAGGAACAUGAUUCAAGAUGUUGUCAGGACCUUGACAUUCAUGUACAGUUCUUUGGAUAGUGCUUUUUGCCAGGUGGAAAAUGUUUCUCGCCUGGAUCACUUUUUCAACCUGUUCUUCCAGCGUGCCCUUCAUCCUGCGAGGCUGCAGCAGCAGGAUUCCUGCAGUGCCCUGUUCCUGGACAGCCUCCCAGGCCUGCGCUGGCUGACACUGCCUCAGGAAAUCAAGAUGGAAAUUGACACAGCACUGAGUGAUCUGGAAGCAGCUGACUUUGCAGAGCUGUCUGAAGACUAUUACGACAUGAGAAGAUUAUAUGUGAUCCUGGGCUCUUGUCUCUUUUACAAGGGUUACUUGAUUGGCAAUCACUUGCCAAAGGAAGACCUUCUUGAUGUGGGUCUCUACUGCCGGCACUACUGCCUGUUACCCCUGGCAGCAGAGCAGAGGAUUGGGCAGUUGGUGAUUUGGAGGGAGGUGUUCCCACAGCACCACCUCCAGCCCUGUGAGGAGGCAAGUCUGACAGGAUACAGGGAACCUGAAGCAAGAUACUUCCUACUGAUAGUUGGCUUGAGACACUUCGUCCUGUGUGUCCUGCUGGAGGCAGGGGGCUGUGCAUCCAGAGCUGUUGGGAAUCCAGGACCAGACUGUAUCUAUGUAGACCAGGUCAAAGCAACCAUACUGCAGCUGGAGGGAAUAGACGCCAGCAUAGAGGAAAGGCUGGACUCUCCCUCCAUCCCACCUGUAGCCUGUGCUGACUGGUUCCUUCCUGCAGCACGGGACAGACUGGAGGGCUUGAGCAAGCUGCAGAACUCCUGCAAAGCUGUGAGCAGUGCAGGGAGCAAGAGGAGCCUCUUUGGGGACAGCUGCCACAGCACACGGACGCAGAGCCCCCCGAGGAGCAGCGGGGCAGCCGAGCAGGGCGGCCAAGGGCCCGCCCAGGAGGAGAGCUCCAACCCACAGCCUGUGGGGGAGCAGGUCAGGCAACACGGGCACAGAGAACUGAUGAGAAAAAAACACAUCCUGCCAAACCCAUUUCAUUCAGGAAACCUUAAAAAGAACCCUUCAGAGAAAGAUACAGAACUUCUUAAUGCUAUCAAGUUGACAUCUGGUCCUGAGAAUACCCUCUUCCACUAUCUGUCUUUGGAGACAAUGCAAGGAAUUUUUAUUACUCCAACUCACAAAGAAGUAGCACAGCUUGGUGGCUCCAUCCACCCUCAGUUAAUUGAGAAUUUCUACCAGUGCUGCCUUUCAAUUCGUUCCAUUUUCCAGCAGUCCAUGAGGAAAGAGAAAAAGAAAAAGGCAGGGAGUGGGAUUUCAGAAUUUAGUAAGGCAGCUGAGGACCCAGGUCUGGUAAGAGAACAUGGACUUCUGUUUGAGUGCUCUCCUGAAAACUGGACUGACCAGAAGAAACCACCACCAACAAUGAACUACUGGGUUGUGGGGAGACUCAUUCUCCAUCCCAAACCUCAGGAGUGUUACGUGUGUUUCCAUGACUCAGUGACAGAAGCUGCUGUGGAACUGGCUUUUAAACUGUCCUUUGGCUUAGCUGCAUAG